AGUGAACGCUGGCGGUAGGCCUAACACAUGCAAGUCGAACGGCAGCACAGUAAGAGCUUGCUCUUACGGGUGGCGAGUGGCGGACGGGUGAGGAAUACAUCGGAAUCUACUUUUUCGUGGGGGAUAACGUAGGGAAACUUACGCUAAUACCGCAUACGACCUACGGGUGAAAGCAGGGGAUCUUCGGACCUUGCGCGAUUGAAUGAGCCGAUGUCGGAUUAGCUAGUUGGCGGGGUAAAGGCCCACCAAGGCGACGAUCCGUAGCUGGUCUGAGAGGAUGAUCAGCCACACUGGAACUGAGACACGGUCCAGACUCCUACGGGAGGCAGCAGUGGGGAAUAUUGGACAAUGGGCGCAAGCCUGAUCCAGCCAUACCGCGUGGGUGAAGAAGGCCUGCGGGUUGUAAAGCCCUUUUGUUGGGAAAGAAAAGCAGCAGGUUAAGACCCCGCUGUUCGGACGGGACCCAAAGAGUAAGCACCGGCUAACUUCGU
rnacentral:rRNA from 1 species